GAGCUUGUGUGUGUGGGGGGAAGGUUGUGUACAGUAUAUUACAUCUCACCAAGUUGUAUCAGAGAGAAAGAUUUCAGUGCAAAGCAAGGUUUCACAGUGCAAUCAGCAUGGACGAAGAGAAACUUGAAGAACAGGCCAGGCUGCCAGAGUACGACUCGGCCUCUACUCCAAAGAUGCGAGAGAUACAGGAGGAGAGUGCCUUUGACCUGUCGCAGAGUCCUAACCACAACCUCACUCCAGAGGAGGAAUCUUACCUGAAACAGGUAAGCAAUCACAGUACGAAACUCAUGUGCAUCUUUGUAGGAUUGCAAUUCUGCACAGAAGUUUAACACUAUUUGUAUGCUCUCAAUUGGAGGGUUGCAUGCAUACAUGUAAUGAACAAUAAACUCAGUCUAGUGUCCCCAGUUGCUCUUUAAAAUGGAAUGGUAGGUCGAAAAAUAGGCCUGGGGUACCUGGGGGCGUGGUUGAAAUUCGUUUCCAAGGUAAACUAGGCAAUUGUAGUUCCUGAAGGUGCCACACAUCGGUAACGUGUACUACUGUAGGUUUAACCGUUUUGGCACCAUACGAAGCAUAGAA